UUCUGGACUUUGGUUAAUCGUAAUAUUUCAAUAUUCAUAUCUCGUAGAUCCAUCUUCUACAUGAAUAUUUAAUCGUUUGCCUCACCUAUCACGUGUAUCUUCUCACGAGGAAGAAAAUGGCGGCUGGUGUUAAAUUUUAAAGUUUCUCCGUGGCGAAAAAAGCAACCACCUAAAGCACUCUUACGCCGAAAUUCGCCUUUUUUCCAACCGUGUAUGUGUGCUUCAGAAGUUGAGCGAAGUGAAAGCCUUGGAAGAACACGUGAAAGGGAAAAUGGAAGCAUUGGACGCUAAGUGGUCAUUUUGUUAAAACUUCUUUUGGAGAGUUAAAUUAUGACACAGGAUGAACAAAGAAAUCAGAAAAGAUUACAGAAGAAUUCCAAGAGGGUGAAGUGAACUUAUCUUGAACAAGAUUGCUUGAUAACAGAUAUCAGAAUCAACUGCGCAGAUACUUCAGUGUGAUGUUCUUUCAAGUCAAAAGACAAGCUUAAAGCAGAGGUAGAAAUUAAAUUUUUACUACAAUCCCCACUGAAGUCAAAUUUCAAGCAAAGAUCGUGUCUUCUGAUUUCCAGAAAGCUUUUCUCUUGCUCGGAUUGUACCUCAGUCGAAACAAAUAGAUGUUAACAAAGUUGCGUAGAUUUGCUGUCAGUAAUUUGAAGAGUCUUUUUCCCGCCAAAAAAUACGGGUGCUUAAAACACGCAUAUUCCAACUUUGUAAGUGACAUCCGGUUAAAAUGGCGUAAUUUUCCCGCCAAAAAACUUAGAAA